UGAACGCUGGCGGCGUGCCUAAUACAUGCAAGUCGAGCGAACUGAUUAGAAGCUUGCUUCUAUGACGUUAGCGGCGGACGGGUGAGUAACACGUGGGCAACCUGCCUGUAAGACUGGGAUAACUUCGGGAAACCGAAGCUAAUACCGGAUAGGAUCUUCUCCUUCAUGGGAGAUGAUUGAAAGAUGGUUUCGGCUAUCACUUACAGAUGGGCCCGCGGUGCAUUAGCUAGUUGGUGAGGUAACGGCUCACCAAGGCAACGAUGCAUAGCCGACCUGAGAGGGUGAUCGGCCACACUGGGACUGAGACACGGCCCAGACUCCUACGGGAGGCAGCAGUAGGGAAUCUUCCGCAAUGGACGAAAGUCUGACGGAGCAACGCCGCGUGAGUGAUGAAGGCUUUCGGGUCGUAAAACUCUGUUGUUAGGGAAGAACAAGUACAAGAGUAACCUGCUUGUACCUUGACGGUACCUAACCAGAAAGCCACGGCUAACUACGUG
rnacentral:rRNA from 1 species